AUUGAACGCUGGCGGCAGGCCUAACACAUGCAAGUCGAGCGGAUGAGAGGAGCUUGCUUCUCGAUUCAGCGGCGGACGGGUGAGUAAUGCCUAGGAAUCUGCCUGGUAGUGGGGGACAACGUUUCGAAAGGAACGCUAAUACCGCAUACGUCCUACGGGAGAAAGCAGGGGACCUUCGGGCCUUGUGCUAUCAGAUGGGCCUGGGUCGGAUUAGCUAGUUGGUGAGGUAAUGUCUCACGAACGCGGCGACCCGUAACUGGUCUGAGAGGAUGAUCAGUCACACAGGAACUGAGACACGGUCCAGACUCCUACGGGAGUCAGCAGUGGGGAAUAUUGGACAAUGGGCGAAAGCCUGAUCCAGCCAUGCCGCGUGUGUGAAGAAGGUCUUCGGAUUGUAAAGCACUUUAAGUUGGGAGGAAGGGUUGUACGUUAAUACCGUGCAAUUUUGACGUUACCGACAGAAUAAGCACCGGCUAACUCUGUGCCAGCCGCCGCGGUAAAAC
rnacentral:rRNA from 1 species